UACGUAGGGUGCGAGCGUUGUCCGGAAUUAUUGGGCGUAAAGAGCGUGUAGGCGGCUUGGUAAGUCCGCUGUGAAAGUCCAGGGCUCAACCCUGGAAUGCCGGUGGAAACUGUCAAGCUUGAGUCCGGAAGAGGCGAGUGGAAUUCCUGGUGUAGCGGUGAAAUGCGCAGAUAUCAGGAGGAACACCAAUGGCGAAGGCAGCUCGCUGGGACGGUACUGACGCUGAGACGCGAAAGCGUGGGGAGCAAACAGG
rnacentral:rRNA from 1 species